rnacentral:tRNA from 1 species
GCCCCGGUAGCUCAGCGGCGGAGCACCGGCCUCGUAAGCCGGGGGUCCCGGGUUCGAAUCCCGGCCGGGGCUCCA